rnacentral:rRNA from 1 species
AGUGAACGCUGGCGGCGUGCUUAACACAUGCAAGUCGAACGAGAACGGGCUAUAGCUUGCUAUAGUUGUCAGCUAAGUGGCGCACGGGUGAGUAAUGCAUAGGUAAUAUGCCUCUUACUAAGGGAUAACAAAUGGAAACGUUUGCUAAUACCUUAUACUCCUUAUUAACAGAAGUUAAUAAGGGAAAGAUUUAUUGGUAAGAGAUUAGCCUGUAUUGUAUCAGUUAGUUGGUGGGGGUAAUGGCUUACCAAGACUAUGACACAUAACUGGUUUGAGAGGAUGAUCAGUCACACUGGAACUGAGACACGGUCCAAACUCCUACGGGAGGCAGCAGUGGGGAAUAUUGCACAAUGGACGAAAGUCUGAUGCAGCAACGCCGCGUGGAGGAUGACACAUUUCGGUGCGUAGACUCCUUUUAUAUGAGAAGAUAAUGACGGUAGUCGGAGAAGAAGCCCCGGCUAACUUCGUGCCAGCCGCCGCAGUAA